rnacentral:rRNA from 3 species
GGUUAAGCGACUAAGCGUACACGGUGGAUGCCCUGGCAGUCAGAGGCGAUGAAGGGCGUGCUAAUCUGCGAUAAGCGCCGGUAAGGUGAUAUGAACCGUUAUAACCGGCGAUACCCGAAUGGGGAAACCCAGUGUGACUCGUCACACUAUCAUUAACUGAAUCCAUAGGUUAAUGAGGCGAACCGGGGGAACUGAAACAUCUAAGUACCCCGAGGAAAAGAAAUCAACCGAGAUUCCCCCAGUAGCGGCGAGCGAACGGGGAGGAGCCCAGAGCCUGAAUCAGCAUGUGUGUUAGUGGAAGCGUCUGGAAAGGCGCGCGAUACAGGGUGACAGCCCCGUACACAAAAGCGCAUGUGCUGUGAGCUCGAUGAGUAGGGCGGGACACGUGGUAUCCUGUCUGAAUAUGGGGGGACCAUCCUCCAAGGCUAAAUACUCCUGACUGACCGAUAGUGAACCAGUACCGUGAGGGAAAGGCGAAAAGAACCCCGGCGAGGGGAGUGAAAAAGAACCUGAAACCGUGUACGUACAAGCAGUGGGAGCACAGGUUUACCUGUGUGACUGCGUACCUUUUGUAUAAUGGGUCAGCGACUUAUAUUCUGUAGCAAGGUUAACCGUAUAGGGGAGCCGGAGGGAAACCGAGUCUUAACCGGGCGUUAAGUUGCAGGGUAUAGACCCGAAACCCGGUGAUCUAGCCAUGGGCAGGUUGAAGGUUGGGUAACACUAACUGGAGGACCGAACCGACUAAUGUUGAAAAAUUAGCGGAUGACCUGUGGCUGGGGGUGAAAGGCCAAUCAAACCGGGAGAUAGCUGGUUCUCCCCGAAAGCUAUUUAGGUAGCGCCUCGUGAAUUCAUCUCCGGGGGUAGAGCACUGUUUCGGCUAGGGGGCCAUCCCGGCUUACCAACCCGAUGCAAACUGCGAAUACCGGAGAAUGUUAUCACGGGAGACACACGGCGGGUGCUAACGUCCGUCGUGAAGAGGGAAACAACCCAGACCGCCAGCUAAGGUCCCAAAGUCAUGGUUAAGUGGGAAACGAUGUGGGAAGGCCCAGACAGCCAGGAUGUUGGCUUAGAAGCAGCCAUCAUUUAAAGAAAGCGUAAUAGCUCACUGGUCGAGUCGGCCUGCGCGGAAGAUGUAACGGGGCUAAACCAUGCACCGAAGCUGCGGCAGCGAACGUAUCACUUAAAGCGAUUCAGCGGAUGACGAUUGACGGAGCGAAGCGACGUCAAAGCGUAUACAAAGUCGAGUCGGUUUAAGGAUACGUUCGUUGGGUAGGGGAGCGUUCUGUAAGCCUGCGAAGGUGGCCUGUGAGGGUUGCUGGAGGUAUCAGAAGUGCGAAUGCUGACAUAAGUAACGAUAAAGCGGGUGAAAAGCCCGCUCGCCGGAAGACCAAGGGUUCCUGUCCAACGUUAAUCGGGGCAGGGUGAGUCGACCCCUAAGGCGAGGCCGAAAGGCGUAGUCGAUGGGAAACGGGUUAAUAUUCCCGUACUUGGUGUUACUGCGAAGGGGGGACGGAGAAGGCUAUGUUGGCCGGGCGACGGUUGUCCCGGUUUAAGCGUGUAGGUGUGUGUUCCAGGUAAAUCCGGUUCACUUUAACACUGAGGCGUGACGACGAGGCACUACGGUGCUGAAGCAACAAAUGCCCUGCUUCCAGGAAAAGCCUCUAAGCAUCAGGUAACAUCAAAUCGUACCCCAAACCGACACAGGUGGUCAGGUAGAGAAUACCAAGGCGCUUGAGAGAACUCGGGUGAAGGAACUAGGCAAAAUGGUGCCGUAACUUCGGGAGAAGGCACGCUGACAUGUAGGUGAAGUGAUUUACUCAUGGAGCUGAAGUCAGUCGAAGAUACCAGCUGGCUGCAACUGUUUAUUAAAAACACAGCACUGUGCAAACACGAAAGUGGACGUAUACGGUGUGACGCCUGCCCGGUGCCGGAAGGUUAAUUGAUGGGGUCAGCGCAAGCGAAGCUCCUGAUCGAAGCCCCGGUAAACGGCGGCCGUAACUAUAACGGUCCUAAGGUAGCGAAAUUCCUUGUCGGGUAAGUUCCGACCUGCACGAAUGGCGUAAUGAUGGCCAGGCUGUCUCCACCCGAGACUCAGUGAAAUUGAACUCGCUGUGAAGAUGCAGUGUACCCGCGGCAAGACGGAAAGACCCCGUGAACCUUUACUAUAGCUUGACACUGAACAUUGAGCCUUGAUGUGUAGGAUAGGUGGGAGGCUUUGAAGUGUGGACGCCAGUCUGCAUGGAGCCGACCUUGAAAUACCACCCUUUAAUGUUUGAUGUUCUAACGUGGACCCGUAAUCCGGGUUGCGGACAGUGUCUGGUGGGUAGUUUGACUGGGGCGGUCUCCUCCUAAAGAGUAACGGAGGAGCACGAAGGUUGGCUAAUCCUGGUCGGACAUCAGGAGGUUAGUGCAAUGGCAUAAGCCAGCUUGACUGCGAGCGUGACGGCGCGAGCAGGUGCGAAAGCAGGUCAUAGUGAUCCGGUGGUUCUGAAUGGAAGGGCCAUCGCUCAACGGAUAAAAGGUACUCCGGGGAUAACAGGCUGAUACCGCCCAAGAGUUCAUAUCGACGGCGGUGUUUGGCACCUCGAUGUCGGCUCAUCACAUCCUGGGGCUGAAGUAGGUCCCAAGGGUAUGGCUGUUCGCCAUUUAAAGUGGUACGCGAGCUGGGUUUAGAACGUCGUGAGACAGUUCGGUCCCUAUCUGCCGUGGGCGCUGGAGAACUGAGGGGGGCUGCUCCUAGUACGAGAGGACCGGAGUGGACGCAUCACUGGUGUUCGGGUUGUCAUGCCAAUGGCACUGCCCGGUAGCUAAAUGCGGAAGAGAUAAGUGCUGAAAGCAUCUAAGCACGAAACUUGCCCCGAGAUGAGUUCUCCCUGAGACUUAGAGUCUCCUGAAGGAACGUUGAAGACGACGACGUUGAUAGGCCGGGUGUGUAAGCGCAGCGAUGCGUUGAGCUAACCGGUACUAAUGAACCGUGAGGCUUAACCUU